rnacentral:rRNA from 1 species
UACGUAGGCAGCGAGCGUUGUUCGGAGUUACUGGGCGUAAAGGGUGUGUAGGCGGUUGUUUAAGUUUGGUGUGAAAUCUCCCGGCUCAACUGGGAGGGUGCGCCGAAUACUGAAUGACUAGAGUGUGGGAGAGGUGAGUGGAAUUCCUGGUGUAGCGGUGAAAUGCGUAGAGAUGCGGAGGAACACCAGUGGCGAAAGCGACUUUCUGGUCCUUAACUGACGCUGAGGCGCGAAAGCAUGGGGAGCGAACGGGG